rnacentral:rRNA from 1 species
UACGGAGGGUGCAAGCGUUAUCCGGAUUCACUGGGUUUAAAGGGUGCGUAGGUGGGCUGGUAAGUCAGUGGUGAAAUCUCCGAGCUUAACUUGGAAACUGCCAUUGAUACUAUUAAUCUUGAAUAUUGUGGAGGUCAGCGGAAUAUGUCAUGUAGCGGUGAAAUGCUUAGAGAUGACAUAGAACACCAAUUGCGAAGGCAGCUGGCUACACAUAUAUUGACACUGAGGCACGAAAGCGUGGGGAUCAAACAGG